rnacentral:rRNA from 1 species
CCUACGGGGGGAGCAGUGGGGAAUAUUGGACAAUGGGCGAAAGCCUGAUCCAGCCAUGCCGCGUGUGUGAAGAAGGCCUUCGGGUUGUAAAGCACUUUCAGUGGGGAAGAAAGCCUUGGGGCUAAUACCCUCGAGGAAGGACAUCACCCACAGAAGAAGCACCGGCUAACUCCGUGCCAGCAGCCGCGGUAAUACGGAGGGUGCGAGCGUUAAUCGGAAUUACUGGGCGUAAAGCGCGCGUAGGCGGUCUGGUAAGCCGGUUGUGAAAGCCCCGGGCUCAACCUGGGAACGGCAUCCGGAACUGUCAGGCUAGAGUGCAGGAGAGGAAGGUAGAAUUCCCGGUGUAGCGGUGAAAUGCGUAGAGAUCGGGAGGAAUACCAGUGGCGAAGGCGGCCUUCUGGACUGACACUGACGCUGAGGUGCGAAAGCGUGGGUAGCAAACAGGAUUAGAUACCCCUGUAGUC